rnacentral:lncRNA from 1 species
CUUCUCUAGCAAUCUCUCGUCUCCUCCUCUCUCACCAUCUCUUCAAUCCUCAUCUCACGAUCUCUCAAACUUGCUGUCUGUCGUCACGGAUUUAAGCUCACCACCUCUGCUCAAGUCUGGAAACCAUGACCCCUCGCCUCCUCCCCUUGGUCUAUCUCUACUUAAGCGUUCAUCUUCUUUUCAUUUUUUUUUAAAUAAAAUCUAUUGCUUUUGUUUACAGAUCUGGAAUAAUGAUGACAUAGAGGAGGUAAUGGUGAUCCAGAGACAGAGGCGGCGGCCGAC